rnacentral:rRNA from 2 species
GUGAAGAUGCAGUGUACCCGCGGCAAGACGGAAAGACCCCGUGAACCUUUACUAUAGCUUGACACUGAACAUUGAGCCUUGAUGUGUAGGAUAGGUGGGAGGCUUUGAAGUGUGGACGCCAGUCUGCAUGGAGCCGACCUUGAAAUACCACCCUUUAAUGUUUGAUGUUCUAACGUGGACCCGUAAUCCGGGUUGCGGACAGUGUCUGGUGGGUAGUUUGACUGGGGCGGUCUCCUCCUAAAGAGUAACGGAGGAGCACGAAGGUUGGCUAAUCCUGGUCGGACAUCAGGAGGUUAGUGCAAUGGCAUAAGCCAGCUUGACUGCGAGCGUGACGGCGCGAGCAGGUGCGAAAGCAGGUCAUAGUGAUCCGGUGGUUCUGAAUGGAAGGGCCAUCGCUCAACGGAUAAAAGGUACUCCGGGGAUAACAGGCUGAUACCGCCCAAGAGUUCAUAUCGACGGCGGUGUUUGGCACCUCGAUGUCGGCUCAUCACAUCCUGGGGCUGAAGUAGGUCCCAAGGGUAUGGCUGUUCGCCAUUUAAAGUGGUACGCGAGCUGGGUUUAGAACGUCGUGAGACAGUUCGGUCCCUAUCUGCCGUGGGCGCUGGAGAACUGAGGGGGGCUGCUCCUAGUACGAGAGGACCGGAGUGGACGCAUCACUGGUGUUCGGGUUGUCAUGCCAAUGGCACUGCCCGGUAGCUAAAUGCGGAAGAGAUAAGUGCUGAAAGCAUCUAAGCACGAAACUUGCCCCGA